rnacentral:ncRNA from 1 species
GUCACAUGACUGGCGACUAGGGUGGAAUCAACCACCGGGAAGUGUGAUUAAGGAAAGCCGCUCGCCUGGGUA